rnacentral:rRNA from 1 species
GACGAGGCACUACGGUGCUGAAGUAACAAAUGCCCUGCUUCCAGGAAAAGCCUCUAAGCAUCAGGUAACAACGAAUCGUACCCCAAACCGACACAGGUGGUCAGGUAGAGAAUACCAAGGCGCUUGAGAGAACUCGGGUGAAGGAACUAGGCAAAAUGGUGCCGUAACUUCGGGAGAAGGCACGCUGAUGGUAGGUGAAGUGACUUGCUCAUGGAGCUGAAAUCAGUCGAAGAUACCAGCUGGCUGCAACUGUUUAUUAAAAACACAGCACUGUGCAAACACGAAAGUGGACGUAUACGGUGUGACGCCUGCCCGGUGCCGGAAGGUUAAUUGAUGGGGUUAUCCGUAAGGAGAAGCUCUUGAUCGAAGCCCCGGUAAACGGCGGCCGUAACUAUAACGGUCCUAAGGUAGCGAAAUUCCUUGUCGGGUAAGUUCCGACCUGCACGAAUGGCGUAAUGAUGGCCAGGCUGUCUCCACCCGAGACUCAGUGAAAUUGAACUCGCUGUGAAGAUGCAGUGUACCCGCGGCAAGACGGAAAGACCCCGUGAACCUUUACUAUAGCUUGACACUGAACAUUGAGCCUUGAUGUGUAGGAUAGGUGGGAGGCUUUGAAGUGUGGACGCCAGUCUGCAUGGAGCCAACCUUGAAAUACCACCCUUUAAUGUUUGAUGUUCUAACGUAGACCCGUGAUCCGGGUUGCGGACAGUGUCUGGUGGGUAGUUUGACUGGGGCGGUCUCCUCCCAAAGAGUAACGGAGGAGCACGAAGGUUAGCUAAUCCUGGUCGGACAUCAGGAGGUUAGUGCAAUGGCAUAAGCUAGCUUGACUGCGAGCGUGACGGCGCGAGCAGGUGCGAAAGCAGGUCAUAGUGAUCCGGUGGUUCUGAAUGGAAGGGCCAUCGCUCAACGGAUAAAAGGUACUCCGGGGAUAACAGGCUGAUACCGCCCAAGAGUUCAUAUCGACGGCGGUGUUUGGCACCUCGAUGUCGGCUCAUCACAUCCUGGGGCUGAAGUAGGUCCCAAGGGUAUGGCUGUUCGCCAUUUAAAGUGGUACGCGAGCUGGGUUUAGAACGUCGUGAGACAGUUCGGUCCCUAUCUGCCGUGGGCGCUGGAGAAUUGAGGGGGGCUGCUCCUAGUACGAGAGGACCGGAGUGGACGCAUCACUGGUGUUCGGGUUGUCAUGCCAAUGGCAUUGCCCGGUAGCUAAAUGCGGAAAAGAUAAGUGCUGAAAGCAUCUAAGCACGAAACUUGCCCCGAGAUGAGUUCUCCCUGACCCUUUAAGGGUCCUGAAGGAACGUUGAAGACGACGACGUUGAUAGGUCGGGUGUGUAAGCGUAGCGAUACGUUGAGCUAACCGAUACUAAUGAACCGUGAGGCUUAACCUU